AGCAUGAGAGUUUACACCUGACGAUGUUACCGCCUGCCGCCAUUUGCCGCUGCUUCCGAGCGUUUGAUAAACUUCACUCGUAUCUGUUCUCAUUUUUUGUCUUCCUGGAGGGCGGCUUAGAUUUGUAUGUGUGUCUUGAGAUAGAUGCUCGGAAUUAGAUUCAAUUGAUCUGUCUUGUAACCAUUAUACCGCACACUCGGAAGAAUGUUGAAGCUGCUAUACUGCAUUUGCUAGACAGAAAGUGCUGCUGCCUAUAUAAGUACACAUUCCCUAGAUUUUUUUUUUUGCC